rnacentral:lncRNA from 1 species
CCCCCCUUUAUUUCAUUAUAUCAAUUUUAAACUAAUUCCUUUAUGAAAUAGAGAUCCUCAACAGUCAACACAAACAAUUACUUCCAUUUUCACUAGUACUAGUACUUGUUAAAGAAAUUGUAUAUUGAUAAUACUUUAAUGCUAGGUUUAAACUGGUUGUAGAUUGAUUAGCCCCUAAUUAAUUUAUGUUUAUAUAACACUUAAUCUGUAACAAAUUAUUCAACCUAUGCCAACAUUUUUUCACACAAUUUUAUACCUAAAUUUCAAAAUGUUGGCAUAGGUUGAAUGAACC